ACUUAAGUAGUUUAAAAAAAAUUCUGAUUUGUGGUGUCAGGGAUAUGGAAUACCAUCUUAGGUC
rnacentral:tRNA from 1 species